rnacentral:rRNA from 1 species
GAUAAGAAAGCUGUCUCUCUUUACUAAACUCUGAAGUUAGCUGGAUAGUGAAGAGACUCUCUUAGCAAAGCGGGACGAGAAGACCCCGUUGAGCUUUAGUAAAAAUUGUUUAUUAAAAACUUGAUUACUUGAGUUGGGGCAACUAUCUUUCUUUUUUAAAACAAAGAUAAAAAUGUUUUGAGUUGAUUCUUUUAUGACCCUUAACCUUAGGAAUAGUAGAAAAAGUUACCACGGGGAUAACAGCGUAAUUUUUUUUGAGAGUUCUUAUUGACAAAAAAGUUUGCGACCUCGAUGUUGGAUCAUAGUUUCCGGGGGGUGCA